rnacentral:rRNA from 1 species
UACGGAGGGUGCAAGCGUUAUCCGGAUUUACUGGGUUUAAAGGGUGUGUAGGCGGACUUUUAAGUCAGCGGUGAAAUCUCCGGGCUCAACCCGGAAACUGCCAUUGAUACUAUGGGUCUUGAAUGUUGUUGAGGUGGGCGGAACGGGUCAUGUAGCGGUGAAAUGCAUAGAUAUGACCCGGAACACCGAUUGCGUAGGCAGCCCACUAAGCAACGAUUGACGCUGAGGCACGAAAGCGUGGGGAUCAAACAGG